AGACGACGGGUCGGGUCGUCAUACUAACUUUCAAAAACUAAAUAAUCCUAAAAGUGUAUUUUUACUUACAAAACGAGUAAAAACAUCAUAUAUCAAAGGUCCUUAAGUUCUAUUCUGAUAGUAACCCAAAAAAUAAAUCUUCCAAUGUCCUUAAGUUCUAUUCUAAUAGUAACCAAAAAACUAAAUCUUCUUCCAACAGCUUGUGCACUUCAUGAACCGGAUGUGAAGAUGGUUCAAUUACGCAUGCUCAUCCUAAAAAGAAAAUAAAUAUAAUUAGCUUUUGAUAAAAAGAAGCAAUAAAGUACAUAAGUGCAAAAUGAAACUAGAGGAAGCUUAUUUAACUGUUACUACUUAUAACAACAACAUACCCAGUAUUAUCCCGCAUAGUGAGGUCUAGGAAGGAAAAUAUGUACACAGACCUUACCCCUAUCUUGUGAAGAUAGAGAAGUUAUUUCCCAUAGACCCUCGGCCCAUGACAACAUAGGCACGAAUUGAUGAAAAGAAAGAUAAGAAAGGACAAUACUGAGAAGCCAUGUAAAAUAAGCACAAAAAAUAUCAAGAUGGUAAGAUGACUGUAACAGGAAUCAUCAACCUAAAAAGAGCUUGUGGAAACACAACAUCAACCUCAAAGAACUAGUGGCCAAAAUUGUCGAUCCAUCUCUAAUGUUUGAUGUCUACCGUUUCGGGAAGGUUUUACUUGAGCUUGUAACUGGUAAGGUUGGCAUAAGCCAGUCAGAUGAUGCCUCAACCAAGGAGUAGUGGGACAAAUUUCUUCCUUUCAUCACUAUACGGGAGAAAGAACUAGUGGCCAAAAUUGUCUAUCCAUCUCUAAUUCUAGAUGAGAACUUAUACUGGAAGAGAUGCGGGCUACAACAAUUAUAGCAAAAAAUAGAUACGUAGCUAGCAGUGCAAGCUUGAAUAAAGUACUCCCUAAAAUAAAGUUGCAUCAGAACCUAUUAAUACUCCUAGAGAUACAAUACUAUAGUCAACAAAAUACUAGACAAGAUUAAUUUAUCCAAACAGACUCAUUUGCAUAUACAACCAAGAAACUUCCUUUCAUGAACUAAAAUAAGUUUACUUAUCAUGUCCAUAAGACUUGUAGGACUUGUCUCAUCCGAAUCAUUUAAAUUAGCAAUCAUGUCAAAAAUUGCAGCAGGAAGUCCAGUUUGUUAAACAUUGUACAACAACACUUAAACAUGAUAGAACCUCGACGAAGCAAAUUUAUAACAUAAUACUUAGUAAUAUGUACGUAUGUUGUACUAAUUUUUGAGUAAAGGAAGAAACUUAAAUGCAACACUAAUUGCUACUUACAAGACAAACACUGCUUAUACAAAACAAAUUAACUAAGGUUAGAUAAAUGUAAUAUUAAAAAUGUGGUUAGGUGACACUUCGAAGAUUUUCAGCUUUAUAUAGUACGUAUAUAUCAGAGAUUGAAGCUGAUACUCAUAUUAAGACAGCUAACAGCAGGCAUUACGAAUGAGUAGUACGUAUUAGCUAUACCACCAAGGUGAACCACAAAUAUAGUGUUUUAAAUGUGAACUCUGUGUAUUUUGUCCUCCUUUUUUUUUGGGUGUGUUGUGAGAAACAUACAGAUGCUUGAGGCAAUAGAAAAACUUCAGUGUAUGUGUGAAUGAAGAUAUUUAAGCUACAAUUGAUAACAUAGAUGUACAAAAUCCAGCAAGAACAUAUCCAAACAAUGGCAAAACUACAAAGAUUCGCUAAUUUUCCAUCAGCAACAAACAGGUAGAACAACUAUAGGUCAUACAUUACACAAAUGUGUCUGAACUUGAGGUUUCAUACAGGUUUCUCUAUGUGUCAAAAGGCUUAUCUACACCAAUUACAAAGGGGAAGAAGUUAAAGGAGUUUCCUCAAACUUCUUAUGUAAGAAUCAACAACUCCCUAAUUUCUUAGACGAUGGCAAUGUUUAUCUGUUUUAUUUAGCUAUCCAGUACAGAUUGGAUUAAGAGUGAUUGUUCCUAAUGUACAGUAGGAGUAUAAGGUUUGGCCCUGCUUAUUUGUGUAACUUCAAAUGUUUCAUAUUUCAUGUGACUUGAAGCCUGGAGCAGAAGUCAAGAUUGCUGGCCCUACUUAGACAUGUUUUCUAGCUAUGAGGCUUAAAAAUUAGUAGCAACCAUAAUGUAAAACCAGAAAGAAAGCAAAAUCAUGAAACAACAGAGAAAGAAAAGAUAAAAAGGAGCAUAUGAGAAUUCAGUAACCCACCCAAAUGAAAAUAGCAAAUUCACUUACUGCUCCUUCAGUUUCUAUUAGAGCUGAAAAUAGCAAAUUCACUUUCAUGUAAUUCAAGAGCAUUUAGUGCUUAGUGUUCCGUUCUAUUGCAUUUCAAAUGUAAAAUUGUGGCAUGUCUAUAGUCGAAGAAAGUAAUAUAUGUGUUUGAUAAUGACUAACAUGAAAAGUGAUGCUAUCUCAUUUAUUCUUAAGUAGUUUAAUAAAAUUGUUCUUAGGAUCAAAAGCAAGUAAUUGAAACUUUAACGCCUUAAACCAAUUAAAUACCUCGAAACUUUGUAUAUGGGAUACUAGUGCCAUCAUGCCCUGUUUUAAUAUUUUUUGAUCACCCUACGAGCUUCCAUGAUUUCUCGUUUUUUUCGCUCCUCCGUAAGUUGAUUUUUCACUUCUAUUAGUUUGCAUUCUUCCCUCCAAGAACUUUCCACCUUGCUCUUGGGAAGAUGGGAAUAAGAAUACAAUAAAUAUCAUACAGAUCCAUUCGGAUGUUAACAAAUUAAGAGAGAAUAGAAGGGAGCACAGUGCAGUACAUUAACAGAGAAUGAGCUACCCUGAAACUUUGAUGUAUAUCAGAUCUUUAGUUUCAAUCUAUAAUCACUACUUCAUAUCAGGAGUUGUGGUAGUGAUUCUAGUGAAAAUCUAAUAGUUAACAGUCACAUAGUGUUCUAGUUGAUGACCAUAAUGGUUUUAUGCAAUUGUCGAUGACAAGACUUUAUGUAGGCACAUGGGCAAAAAUUUGGCAGACAUGUUUUAGACAUUUAGAUACGAUACAUUAGGUUCAGAAGUCGCUUCUUUAAGUAAAUAUAACAAGCCUUUUACUCUAGAAACACAGAAAACUAACAAGGCAAACUACCAGCAGAUGACCCCUCAGAUGAAACGGUUAGUUAGGAUCUUCCCGACCAAUGUAACCUAAAUGUCAAAUCAGAUGCAUACGGUGGGAUCAGAAUGUUUUCAAUAGAAACUAUAACAAGCUGAUAGAAGUUUGAAUGAUUGUUUUCAGAAAACAGUAACGACGAGGAGGCUUGUUUAUUUAUUUUUUGUCCUUGAUAAGGUAAACUCUAUCCUCCAAAUCCUUGGCCCUCUCCAUUCUUGGUGACUUGAAUUCCCAUCCUCCUGGUUGUGAGUGAAUGCUCUUGCCCAGGUAACAACCUCACUUGUCAGUGGGUUACAUGUUCAUACAGGACAAAGAUAAAUCUACAUGUGACCAACACAUCUAAAAUGUUAGUUGCUACUUAACCUAUCAGUCAUAUAGAUAAGGACUCUAUAUAUCAUGCAUGCUCCACUGAAAGGUCAAGGCACAAGAAACUGUGUAAGGAUCCCGUAUCUCCUAAUGCCUGAACUUUGACAUAGGAAGUCCAAUUUCCUCCACAUACUUAUAUAACACUACGUCUGCAAACAUUUGCAAUUUACAGUUCUCCCUUAAAGACAAAUGCAAAAUAUAAGAAUCUAUGAAUUGCAAAAUCCUGCUUUGCUUGCAGGAACCUCGACUAAAUCAUGGGUGUGUGCUACCUGUUGACUCCCACCACUUAAUAACUUUACCCAUCGAGACUGGAGCAGCAGUUGAUAUCCACGAGUUUACCAAACAAAUAACCAAAGCUGCUAUACUGUCCUCGAUUUCCCAAGUAAAUAAAAGUUUUAGCCAUUGAUUCAACUGAUCAAGGCCACGAGGAAGAAAAGAAAAGCAAAAUAUAUAAAAGCAAAACUUCAGACAAUCGCCAUUGGACAUUGGUACUUAAAAUAGACCGGAAAAAGAACAAAAUAAUUAAGUUUAAAAAAAAGGGGGGAAAUCAGAAUAUAAAAUUUCCAAAAUUGGACCAAUUUCAAUUAAUAUACUCCAUAAACUAUCUACAGGUGGCUGAUCUUACGUACAAAUUCGCUACAAUUCAAGAAGAAAUACUGUAAAUUAAAUAAUAUGAGAGAGAGAGCAUACGAAUCGGGAGCACAAACAAGGACAUUGAAGAGAUUGGAGGAGACAAGAACGCGAACAAGAGAUCUCAAAUCGGGUGCGUCAAUUCCGUAAAUUCAGAGAAAAAGUAGACAAUCGCCCAUAUUCUAAAUUAUCAAUCCCAAAUAUUCUCACUCUCACACCAUUAAUUCCCCAAAAAAAGAACGUCAAAUAGCAUGACCAUGAAAAAAAUUAAGAAAAUUACAUAAAAAACACCCACUAUAACAACCAAGAAAAGAUACGACAUCUCAUAUUACAAAACAAUUCAAGAAAAUCCCAGUAAACAAUCAUUGACUAGUGAUUAAGGUAUCACAAAUUAAGAAGAAGGAUACGAUUAAACUAAAUCAAAAGAAGAAAGCAACAGAUAUUGAGAAGAAACGAAAUCGAAAGCGACAACUCACCAGAUUUUGGGUUGAAUACAGCGGAAGAGAUCAAAAAAUCAAAGAUGCAAGAACUUAGUUUAGAUAAUGAAAAGAGAAAGCAAUAGAAACUAAAAUUGAGCGCUAAAAAUUUGGGGAAAAGUAAUAAAAUAGGGAAAUAUGUUUUAGGCGCGUCUGUUUUGGCGGAAAACGAAAAGUGAUUUACUAA
rnacentral:lncRNA from 1 species